CCCUUAGACGUUCUGGGCCGCACGCGCGCUACACUGACCAGUGCAACAAGCAUCCGUCCUUGGCCGACAGGCCCGGGCAAUCUUUGAACGCUGGUCGUGAUGGGGAUAGACUUUUGCAAUUUUUGGUCUUCAACGAGGAAUUCCUAGUAAGCGCAAGUCAUCAGCUUGCGUUGAUUACGUCCCUGCCCUUUGUACACACCGCCCGUCGCUCCUACCGAUUGAAUGGUCCGGUGAAGCGUUCGGACCGUGGCCUUUGGACGGUUCGCCGUCUGUUGGCUGCGGGAAGUUCGUUAAACCUUAUCAUUUAGAGGAAGGAGAANUCGUAACA
rnacentral:rRNA from 1 species